rnacentral:rRNA from 1 species
GACGAACGCUGGCGGCGUGCUUAACACAUGCAAGUCGAACGGUAAGGCCCUUCGGGGUACACGAGUGGCGAACGGGUGAGUAACACGUGGGUGAUCUGCCCUGCACUUCGGGAUAAGCCUGGGAAACUGGGUCUAAUACCGGAUAGGACUCCUGGCUGCAUGGUUGGGGGUGGAAAGCUUUUGCGGGGUGGGAUGGGCCCGCGGCCUAUCAGCUUGUUGGUGGGGUAAUGGCCUACCAAGGCGACGACUGGUAGCCGGCCUGAGAGAGUGACCGGUCACACUGGGACUGAGAUACGGCCCAGACUCCUACGGGGGGCAGCAGUGGGGAAUAUUGCACAAUGGGCGCAAGCCUGAUGCAGCGACGCCGCGUGAGGGAUGACGGCCUUCGGGUUGUAAACCUCUUUCAGCUAUGACGAAGCGCAAGUGACGGUAGUAGCAGAAGAAGGACCGGCCAACUACGUGCCAGCAGCCGCCGUAA